CAAAUUCUCGGCAUAGAUGUUCUUCAGCUACCGUGUACCUGGGCAGUGGUUUCAGUGCUUACAGGGUCUGCGUUAUCUAACAACACUGCUUUAGGAAGUCAGAGAAUGUGAGAAUGGGCUCAUGUUGAAGAAAACCCUCCUUGGCUGCACAGCUGCCCACAGAAUGCAAACUGAGGCCAGGAGGAAUUCCUUGGUGUUGACCAUCUGAGGCUGGAAAUGAACUGUCGACAACCUCUAGCACUGCUGCAAAACAACCUGAUCCUGCUACAGGGACGCGUGUGAGGAAAGCAAAAAUACUGCUCAGUAAAUAGCUGCAAACGAUAGAGGAUCCUGCAGAAAUGCUGGAAAAUAUGAAAAGGCCAAUGAAGCAAGGGGGAGAAAAACGGGGUUUUCUUUCCUCCUCUAAGAAAGAAUGCAUUAUCUGGAA